CGCGGCGCGCGGGAGGGGGCGCUGAGCGAGCCCACGUGAUCCCCGGAAACUAUGGCAACCACUCGCGGCUGGUGCUGAGCGCCCGCCGCCCCGACGGCUGCCUGGCUGAGCACUCGGGUGGAUGCCCGCGCCUGCGGGCCACCAACUUGCAGAUGCUACUAUGACUCCAAUCUGACUUCCCUGGGCAGAAGACUUCAAUAAUGUGUCCUGAAACACCACCUCCCCAGAGCCCUGUCCACUGGGGAAAGAUAGAAACAGGGUGGGUGUAAGGAUUGACUUGCCAACAUCUAUAUCCAGUGGAGAAGAAAUCACUGAAGCCAGACCUUCCACCUUCUGCACCCCAUACAUGAUCCUGGAGACAGAGAAAUUGAGAGGAAGGGGACAACAAACAGAAAGACACCAACAGCACAGCUUCACCACUUAUGAAGCUCCCCCUCACAGCUUCUGCCUGAGAGUGAGAUCAUCCCAUAUUCAUCCUUCUAUUUCUGGCUUAUUUCACUUAACAUGAAUUUUUCAAGGUCAUACAUCAGACAAGAGACUAAUAACCAAAAUAUAUAAAGAGCUUGCCAAACUCAACCACAAGAAAACAUAUGACCCCAUCCAAAAAUGGGGAGAGGACAUUGACAGAAUUUUCACCACAAGAGAGAUCCAAAAGGCCGAAAAACACAUGAAAAAAUGCUCCAAGUCUUUGAUUGUCAGAGAAAUGCAAAUUAAGACAACAAUGAGAUAAUACUUCACUCCUGUGAGAAUGCCAUACAUCAGAAAAGAUCCUGUUUGGACCGAUGCUGAGCACUUAGACCCCUCUCAUCUGUGAACUCCUCACAAGAACAUGAGCUGAAGCAUGGCUUGCAGCAGUCCAACACCCUGAAUAUGCCAAGAUUGCCACCCAGGAGCCACUUGAACUUGGGGACACCUCUGAAAGUCUCUGUUCUGAGCUUCCCUGGAACAUCUCUGGGUUAGAGAUAGUUACUAGACCACAGGUCUUCAGGCUAACAGGGUCUUAUCUGAUACCCAGUUAUUAUGCCUGCACUCUGGGGAGUCAAGGCAGAGCUUACAGAGAUAACCCUAGAAUCACUAAAGAUUUGCUUAUUUCUCCAAUGCUCAUACAGAUUGAACAUCUUGUCCAUGUCUAUAAUCAGAAGUGGGGAAUUGUUGUGACCCCAACAGGAGUUUGGGACUCUUAACAUAUAAAUGACAUCACCCUGAGGCGGGACAGACAGAGAAGGGAAUGUGUAAAAGCACAGACUCUGAGUAAGUUGCUCUUUUUGGCUGCUGCUGCUUCUCUCUGUCAGAAGUAUCUUGACGGAGGUGCACCAGGUAUCUACCAUGGCUACUUCUGGGAACUGAACACAUGUGACUGCUAGCCGGGCAACUUUUAGACCCUUCUACGGCCAUGAGUAACCUAUACCUCAGCUGAUAAUUGUUUAUCUUAUGGGACUAAACUUUUGAUAAUUAUACUCAGACUUUAUGGACCUAGCGUACUCUUAACCUCUGAUGAUAAUUGCUUAUUUACCUUUUACCUGUUUCACCCUAAUAAAUCUUGUGUUGUUUAAACCAGUCUCCAGCUCCCCGCUGUGAAUCCUUUUACACAACCCAACAGCUCCCAAAUCCCUUUUUAAGUUAAAUAACAACAAAUUAGUGAUAGAACUUGGACCUACAUAUAUCUUUCCUUCUAAAAUAAUUUCAUUUAUCACUGAAUACAUUUUACUUUAUUUGUUUCUGUAAUGGUAGGCAUUACAGAAUAGACUUUAUUA